CCUACGGGUGGCUGCAGUAGGGAAUCUUUCACAAUGGGCGAAAGCCUGAUGGAGCAACGCCGCGUGCAGGAUGAAGGCCUUCGGGUUGUAAACUGCUUUUAUAAGCGAGAAAUAUGAUGGUAACUUAUGAAUAAGGAUCGGCUAACUACGUGCCAGCAGCCGCGGUCAUACGUAGGAGCCGAGCAUUAUCCGGGGUUACUGGGUGUAAAGAGUUGCGUAGGUGGCAUAAUAAGUAGCUAGUGAAAUCUGGUGGCUCAACCAUUCAGACUAUUAGCUAAACUGUUAAGCUCGAGACCGUUAGGGGCAUCUGGAAUUUCUAGUGUAGGAGUGAAAUGCGUAGAUAUUAGAAGGAACACCAAUAGCGUAGGCAGGAUGCUGGGACGGUUCUGACACUGAGGCACGAAAGCGUAGGGAGCAAACGGGAUUAGAUACCCCUGUAGUC
rnacentral:rRNA from 1 species